rnacentral:lncRNA from 1 species
AGAAUCCCGUAGAAGGAGAAAAAAGAUACACUUGGGCUAGAGUUGCUAGGAAAGCCUUUGGUUUCACAAAUGAGCCGGGGUUACUCUUAUUUGUAGAUCAUUUGUAUUUAGACAAGUGUCUUAAUGUGAAAUAUUACAGUAACUUUUAUUCCUUAGAAAAUAUUCUUUCAGCAAAUGCAUCGUUGCACAUUAAUUUGUAUAUUUUUCAAUGGCCAAAAGGCUACCAUGUCUCAGUGUAGGACCUUGGCCAUUUCUUGUCUUAUGUGAUAAUUGCCUUAUCACUGCAUUUUGUAUAGACAUAACUUAAAAGAAGUGAUUUUUCACCUGGGAGUAAACAGCUUUGGCUGAAGCUGCUGUCCUCUUGGUAAAAUACCUAAUUCCUUUCUGGAUCAGUUCAAGACGUAUUUUUAACUGCCUCUCAUGAGUCAAGUAGGCAGUGUGCUGGGUAGAAGGGGUUAAACCAGGAACAAGAUACGAUUCCAGACCACAGCACCUUGCAGUCACAUUGUUGUUGACACAGGCACACAAUCAGUAAUCUCAACACAAUGUAAGGAAGUAUCACGAGAGAGUUGGGAUAUGGACCCUGCACCAGAAUCUUGAGAAUGAGGAAAACAUCAGCUGGGUGCGGAAAGGUAGGGAGGGUGCGUCAAACAGCAGAACCAGCAAGAGCCUCUAUGUGGAGGCAAAGCACAAGUCAGCAAGCUGGAGGUUUAUAUUGAAAAAACAAAAAACUACCUCUCUACCAGUCUCUCUCUUGAUUGAUCACUUGGUAUCUCCUUUUACAAAUAGUGGAAGCAUACUUAGAAUUAAGGUUAAAGUGACUUGGGCAUUAAAAUACUCGAAUUAUAUAUUCUCAUACCAUUCUAAUGGCAUUCUAAGCCAUUAAGUCUUUGGUUAUGCCCCAUUUCUAACUAACCUGGACUAGCAGCACAUCUUAAUUGAGAGAUGUCAGUACAUGGAACUAACAACCAUAUUCUCCUUGGCCCUCAGCUAUCUUUAUGUGCAAGAAUGUUUUUUGCUGAAUUAUGUAUUGCUUUAAAAUAACCAUUUAGUUUAAAUGUUCAAGCUCUGGAAAUCAUUUCUCUAGAUGUGGUAUAAAGGGAUAAAACUGGGUGGGGAAUCUGCCACUGGGCAGUGCUGUUUGUGUGUUUCCAGCAUGGCGGAUAAUGUUGUGUUGAUCCAUGUGCUACGAGGGUUGGAAACAGCAUAAACUUGGGGGCUAUUUUAUUAGGCCACAGGGCAUUUUCACAGAAUCUAGGCAUACUAACCGAAUGUAUUUCUACAUGAAUUUGCAAAAUCAUUUAUAUCAGAGCAGAAAUAAUUUAUCUUUGUUAAUAAAGCAUUCCAUUCCUAUUUUUUUCUCACAUCCAUGUUUAUAGCAAAAGAAAAGAUUAUUUAAGGCCUAGAGAUCCUGUUGUAAAUAUGUAUGAGAUAUAUAUGAGUAUUCUUUAUGGACUGGCACCAAAAGGCUAUGCUUUUUAAUUUCUAAACAGCUAGUCAUUUCAAGAUAGUCACGAAAUCAGACUCAGCCAGUAUAAUGGUUUGACCCUGUAUAGAUGCAGC